rnacentral:sRNA from 1 species
UUCUUCUUUCUUGUUUUU